AUCUGCUGUUGUCAUUGACUAUUUAUAGCACCUUGAGUCAUCUUGUGGAAACGGAACGAAUGAAGUUGCACUCUCUAGUUCGUUCUUAAAUUCCUAUAAUGUUGUGAUUUUCCAAAUCUGAUAAAUGUGGAAUUUAGUUUAGAAAACGUUUAACCUAAUGCAAUCAAUAACUCAAAAUUUCUAAUUUCACUCUGACUCAACACGACCAUAUAUCACAUGCUUUUGAUCCCACUAAAUACAGAACAUUGUUUCCGUCCAUAACAAUUUGUAUGCACAGUCGAUUUGGAAGAUUAUCCAGGAUUUAGCCAUUAUCUUUGAAGCUUCGGAUUUUGAAAUAAUUGUUCCGAUAAGCAAUCGAGGAGUUUGUUGCAAUGUACACGGCAGAUACCGCAAAGCAAAUCUCCAAACCAAGCGCUUUUUCGCACCACGCGGCAAAGGUAUAUGGAAUCACGUAAAUUUCGGAACAUUCUGACCUGACCCGAAGGAGCUUGAAGAUGGUGUCGCUAAUUUGCACCGACACAUGUCGGUUGACUAUGCUAGAGAAGACGUCGUUACAAUUAAGAGGCAUUCUUAUUUUUUGACUCCGACUUUAUUUUGUUCGAUAUAUUCAAUGUAUAGAUAUCGUUCUCUUCUAUAAUUAAAUAUAUAAUACAUUUUCAUUUGGAUGCAACAUAUUAA